UUCACCUAUGAUAGAUCAUCAC
rnacentral:siRNA from 1 species